UGGCCCAGGGGCUAGGCCCAAAUCACAAGCCUAGUGAAAGGGAGAGGGAUUAGAAGUAUUCAGAGACGUUCUUCAUACACGUAAACAAUCUUGGCUUGAGCUAACAAACUCUGUCGUGCCAGAAAUCGCCUUCGGCGGCGGCGGUGGGGGUCCAAAAUCUACAAACCUCAUAUCAACACCAUCAUUGUGCUCUUCUCUCUCACCUUAUCAUGUUAAUUUCUCCCAAUUUCCACUAAAAAAUCUAAACCGAGCCAAAUACACUUAUCUAAGUCAAAAUUAAACGCGUUAUAGGUGGAAUCAAAGCCUAAUUUCUUAGGGCUUUGAUUCCUCAGGUGUCACUCUAUAUUUUGGUAAGUGAAAUUAAAGCAAGAGCAAGAAGCAACUGAAACAUCUACUUGCGAAGCAAAGACUUCCUCAGAGAUCGUUGCAGUGGAGAAGAUAAGGCCGAAUUUGAAGAAAAAUCAAGAGUGUAUAGGGUGGAAACACACUUGGCUUAGGCAAGGUUGGACAUGGAUUAAUCAAGGCAUGGGAUUUUGGUAAAAAGACCAAGGGUCGUGAAGAACAAGACUAGGGGUAGCUUGGGAUUGAAGAUAGUAUUGUAAUUAGGGUUAGGACUAGUAAAGUUGACUUUGGUCAACUAGUUGACCAAAAAGUCAACAGUUGACCAAACUCAACUAUAGGUCAAAGUUGUACUUUUUUGUAGGUUUUGAAUUUUGUACUUUUAUGAUGUAAAUGGAUAUUUAAAAAUGAACCUUGAAUGACUUUUGUAAUUAAAAAUGAAUUUGAAAACCUUGAUCUAUAAUGAAUUUCCUCAAAGCUUGAUUUUGAA